CCACCCAGACAGGUGACAGGUGCCACGCAGGUUGGACAGGGAACAGCUGAUCAGACACAUAGAUGUGCCUCUGGUACCCAUGAGGAACUCAGUAAGAACCAGCAAUAUGGAUGUGUAGGACUUUCUGAAAGACACAUGAGCGAUGAAUCACCCCAAGGGCCUUGAAGAGAUGCUGAAACGUGUGAAGGUUCGUGGUUUACAUUCCACAAAGGUCACCUGGCAGCAGCGCGGAGGAGGGGGAUGGUGCGUUCCAUGUUAGACCUCCCAGGAGCGACGCCAGCCAGACCUCUGGAGCUCAGGGAGACACGCAGAGGUAGGGAAUGUGGGCACGAGGACAGGUGUGGGGCAGGUGGGUGUCACGGGCAUGACUGAGACCAUCCAGGAAGUGCGUAAAGUGAGAUCCGGAAGGGCCAGAGAUAAAACUCCGGUCGUCUGGUGCAGAACGACAAGAAGGAACCGAGAGGUACCCGUGUGUGGGGCUGAGGCCCAAUGAGAGACAACGUCUCCGCACUUUGAAGACUCAUGGCCUUGCACUUGCACGUCUAUUUGUGGAGUUGAUUUCCUUCUUAACUGACAGUGCUUCUGCCUCUAUCUAGUCUUUUGAAAGCAGAGGAAGCUCCGUCGUGGCAAGCAGGGCUCCUUCUCAUCUUCCAGUCCUCCCAAGGUCCUGCACCUAGUAGGUCCCUAAUAACCUCCUUCAUCUGAACCCUUCAAAGAUGGGGGGGUUGAAACUGAUUAGUUUCAAUCCAGACUAACUGCUUUUUUAAAUUCUCAUAUAAAUCUGACUUUUAAUAGGUUCUGAGAAUCGAUGUUUCAUUAUUUUCUGCCACAGUGGAGAUUAUCCCUGUUGAUGGGUCAUUACAAAUCGAGGCUCUCCGAGAGGUCUCCCUUCUGUCUCUCAUUUCCUGAUCUUUCUGCAGGAUUAUCUUUGUUCUUCAGAGCAAAGGGGGGAAGAAGUUAAAUGGGUCUUAGAAAUUAACAACUGGGACCAAGCAGACCAGAGGCAGAAGAGCUGUGGCUCUCUCACGCUCACACCACACAGGCUCCGUAUUGUUCAACAGGAAUAAGGAGGCAGCUUCAUUCGUGGCGGUCUCAAUCGGAUUGAUAAUCUCAGUGUGGAUCUGCCAUUCACUGCAUGCCAACUGUAUACCAGGCACUGGUCCAGCAGGUCACGUUCGGCUUCAUUUAAUCAUUGCAAUAAUGAUUAAAUACGUGUGGACUGUGAUUAGCCCCAUGUUCCCACUGGAACUCAGAGAGGCUUACCCUUGAGGCUACCCAAGUCACAGAGCUGCUGAGUUGUACGGGGCUGCCGGGAAACCCGUAUAUCUUACUCCAAACCAGGCUUCCAUUUGUAUUGGGGGCAUAGCUCCAGUUCUGAGUUCCCUGGAGUCCUGGAAGAGCCAACCCAAAAGUCACAUAGGGUCCAGUGCAUCUCCUGCCCAAAGCCCCAUUCCCUACAAGGCAUCAGAGCUAGAUUUCACUAUAGAGUGGUUACAGCAGCCAGCUUCUCCCUGACUCUGACCUCAGGAAAACAAUCCUUUUUCUUUUCCUUGGCACUGAGAUUGCUCUGUGGAUCCAUUUGCAUAAAUCCAAGCAAAACAGGACACCCUAGAGAACAAAAGAAAGAAAGGGAUGUGCUCAGGCUCUCCAAGCAGCAGCAACUCCUUUUGAUGCCAAAUGGGCCCUCCCCACACACGGCCUUGCUGGUUGUGCUGCGGCAGGGUUCAAACGUGACAGAGCCACCAGAAGGGACCCCCCAAACUGGCUCAGAUUUUCUGGGAUCUGUAUGUGCCAAGGCUGAAGAAAACAACGAGCAAUAAACCUCUGCAGACAAUUGAUCACUCAUCUGUGCAGGACUCAGAGCAUCAAGCUCACCCCUCGUUAUCACUCUGGCAUUUUUUUUAGGGUAGAGAGUGUCAGGAGGGAGACAGCACAGAGGGUGCCAUGCCCCAGGCCAGGAACCCCACAGGACUGGGCUCAAAUCCUGCCCGUAAGACUCUGGGCAUGUCACCUCCGCUGCCCAAGCCUUCCUCAUUGGUACAAUGAGAUCAGUCACAGUUUCCACCUCCUUAGAUCCAAGCAGCCAAUGCAUGCAGGGGACCUGCCCCAGUGCCUUGCAAACAGUGAGAACUCAGUAAGUGUUAGUUGCUGUGAUUAUUCUCUCUACACAGCUAACUGCAUGCAGAGAGCUCUGCAUAGCUUCAGGUAAAUUGGGAGGGGAGAUGCACAAAGCCAGAGAUAGAACAUGUACUUCCAUGUUUUCCAGCUCAAUGUUAUACUGCAGAAACAGCACAGAGCCUGAGAGACUAGGGUUCAAAUACUGUGUCCCUUUAGAUCUUGGGCCAGUUUUUUAACCUUGUAGUGCUUACAGUCUGGAGUGAGAGACAGGCAAUCAAUCAUACAAAUAAAUGCAUAAACAGAAACUGAGACUUGUGCUACCAUGAAGGAAAGCAGUACACAAUUCUGAGAGAGCAACAUAACAAAGCAACCUGAGCUCCACUGUAGGGAUGAGGGGUGGGAGCGGGAGAGACUUCCCUGAGGAAACUGAGAUAAGUAGGAGUCAUUACGGAAAGAGGGACAGGGGUAGCAUUUCCGGUGGGAAAAUGGCAUGUCCAAAGGCCCUGUGGUAGGAAGGAGGAUGGUCCGAUAUGGCAGCCAGCAGGGUCUGCAGUAGAG